AAAUAUUUAUCUUGGGGCCCCCACAUCACAGAGUUUUAAACACUGUCAUGUCAUAAACACUGACUGCACUUUAUUACACACACUUAUUUUGUUAAUCAUCUCGUAUGUGUGCAGUUAUAGACUAAAGUCCAUCUGUUUCCGUGUACACAGUGUAUUAAUCAACCUCUACCCUUUGUCAGUGUCAUUUUCUGACCACAGCACCGGGUGGUGGAUGGUUUCUCAACUUAGCUGUGACACUGACAUUUUUAAAACCUCAGCAACUCUGAGUCACAACACCCGUCAACAUGAAUGAUUCACAGAACAUAUAUUUCACAUACGACCUCACCCCUGCGUACUCUAUGUUUAUAAUAAAGCCACUAGAAACAGAAUGUGUCUUGGUACUGAUAGUAAAAAUAUCAUUGUUCCACUGGAUGUGUGGGGAAAUGUUGUGGAAAAAUAUUGCUUUCUAGAGAAGUAGCACUUCUCUGUGAAACAACUUCAAAGAACUUUCAAAGGGCACUGAUAUGGUUUUUAUUUCAGGAAAUGGAAGUAGGGCAUGUCAGAGCAAGCUGUCAGCCAUUUCACCCCACACAUCACAAGAGCUCAAGUGUUGCUCUGGCAGUCUGGUAUUCUGGGAGUUUUAGCUACUAAGAAACCCACCAAAAAUUCUCAUGAAGUAAAAAUGAAUUUCAGAUCUCAUUAGAGCCUGGUGAACCCAUCCGUCCUGCCCCCCCGCUGGGCCCCGCAGGCCCCGGGCUGCCCGGUGAUCCUGGAGGCCCGGGCAAACUGCAUGCGAGCUGAGACGAGUGAAU